rnacentral:rRNA from 1 species
GACGAACGCUGGCGGCGUGCUUAACACAUGCAAGUCGAACGGAAAGGCCCUGCUUUUGUGGGGUGCUCGAGUGGCGAACGGGUGAGUAACACGUGAGUAACCUGCCCUUGACUUUGGGAUAACUUCAGGAAACUGGGGCUAAUACCGGAUAGGAGCUCCUGCUGCAUGGUGGGGGUUGGAAAGUUUCGGCGGUUGGGGAUGGACUCGCGGCUUAUCAGCUUGUUGGUGGGGUAGUGGCUUACCAAGGCUUUGACGGGUAGCCGGCCUGAGAGGGUGACCGGCCACAUUGGGACUGAGGUACGGCCCAGACUCCUACGGGAGGCAGCAGUGGGGAAUAUUGCACAAUGGGCGGAAGCCUGAUGCAGCAACGCCGCGUGCGGGAUGACGUCCUUCGGGUUGUAAACCGCUUUCGCCUGUGACGAAGCGUGAGUGACGGUAAUGGGUAAAGAAGCACCGGCUAACUACGUG